GCGAUUGUCGUUGCGGCUCUUGCAACAUGUCAUACACGUUGCGAUACUUCUCUGCUCAUUCUCAUCACUUGGUUGGGUACAUUUUGAAAUUUCGAAGGUGUCAAUGGAUGCUUGGGAAUAAUACUACUACAAUAAAACAUAUAAAUGAAUAUUAAAGUCUGUGCCCCACGCUAUACUUCAGUGGCAAAGAAAAAAAAAACCAGACAAAAAAGUACUCGUAGCGGAAAAUUUUUUGGUUUAAAUUAUUUAAUUAAAUUGUCAACAGUGAUGUGUGCGCUGAAUUCACGAUGAAAGUCAAAUCAAGUCAAAUGGAACAAACAGAGGGUGAGAAAGUAACCAGAACCAGAAGAAAAUAUGUGAACAACAAUAAAACAAAACCAAUUUUAAACAACAAAUAAGAUCACUCGACUGAAUUCAAGCACACAAAAACACAAGAAUGUAUUUCACCUUUGUUUAUAUGGACUCUUAUUGAUGGUAAGUGU